rnacentral:tRNA from 1 species
CACAGGGUAGCCUAGUGGACAUGGCAUCUGCCUGGUUAGCGGAAAACUGUGGGUUCGAUUCCCAUCCCUGGACA